GGGCCCGCACAAGCGGUGGAGUAUGUGGUUUAAUUCGAUGCAACGCGAAGAACCUUACCAGGGUUUGACAUCCUGCGAAUCUCUUGGAAACGAGAGAGUGCCUUCGGGAACGCAGUGACAGGUGGUGCAUGGCUGUCGUCAGCUCGUGUCGUGAGAUGUUGGGUUAAGUCCCGCAACGAGCGCAACCCACGUCUUUAGUUGCCAGCAUUUAGUUGGGCACUCUAGAGAGACCGCCGGUGAUAAACCGGAGGAAGGUGUGGAUGACGUCAAGUCAUCAUGCCCCUUACAUCCUGGGCUACACACGUACUACAAUGCUACGGACAAAGGGCAGCAAGUUCGCGAGGACAAGCAAAUCCCAAAAAGCCAUCUCAGUUCGGAUUGGGGUCUGCAACUCGACCCCAUGAAGUCGGAAUC
rnacentral:rRNA from 1 species